CAAUAACAAAAGGUUUAAAACGUUUACCAAAGAAAUACAAAUGAAAAGACAGAAAGAAAAAAAAUGACAACCAGUCUAAUAAUAGCUGGACUCCACUCAGUACCGAUUCCAAUCCCCAAAAAAGCAGUUUCCAAUAAACCAUUCAUUAUUCCGCUCUCUUUUUAUCUUUUCUACAAAAAGGGUCCUAUCAGACAACUGUCAAUCAGGUUCCUUUCUUUUCUGUCGAUCCAUCUCCAAAGUUUAUUGCUUAAUGAUCCUUUCAAUCAGGUAUGUUCUUUAAUCUUCUUCAUCGCAUUUCUAGCAAGGUUGUGAUCCAUAUUGUUUGCAGAUUUGUUUGUAUGCUGAAAGAAUAUGUGUUGAAAAAUUGUUUUUUCUGUUUAAUGUUUCGUAUUAUACCCCCAAUUACCAAUCUAUCAGUCUUCUCCGAGUUUCUCUUUUUUAUCAUUGUUGCUGAGUCUCCUUCGAUAAUAACUGAUUUAAACCCCAUUUGUUUUCCCACAAUCACUACUUGGAGGUACGCAAGUGCCUCUGCUGCAAAUAGAGAAGCCACCUCCCUAUGGAUCUUUGUUUUGAAGCCGAGUACCUUCCCCGAUGCAUUUCUGGUUACCACCCCUGAGACUGAUUUUGCCCAAGAGGCAUCAAAAGUGGCGUCAAAAUUAACUUUGUAGUAGAAAAUUCUAGUGGGCACCAACCCACAGCCUCAUGAUUCAUGGUAAAGUUCUGAAUUUCACACCCCUCCUGUUCCUUAAUAUAUUUGUUUAUCCAUGUAGCAACUUCUUGACCCAUACUGUUUUUCCUUCAUGUAAACCUUUGUUUCUAGCUGUUCAGAUCGCGCACAUAGAGCAGCAAAAAAUUCGACACUAAGUGUUGGAAUUGUUUUUGAACACCUAAGUAAGCCACUCGCAAUGUGACAAAAUUAUAUUUGUUAAAUACCCACUCCAGUUUCAAACUAAUCCAUACUUCUUGCGUCACAGGGCAUUCUCUGUUAAUUUAAAUUUUUUACAAUUUAGUUCUUAUUGCACAAAACACAAAAUAUGUAAAAUUUUCUUAUAGCCAUAUUAGAUCGAAUUUUAUCCAUGCUUAUAUAAGUCCAUAUGUUUUUUAUUUAUUUCACAUUUUAGUCCCUCAAAUUAUUAUUUUUUGUAAUUUAAUCUUAAUUACUUAAAAUCAUCAAAAGUUUCAAUACAAAACAUGUUAAUCUAAAAUAUAUUUUUCAUAUUUCAUCGUCAAACAACAAAAAUCACAAAGCUCUCAACAAUGGUACGACUCAAAAUAUUCAUCAAAAUAAAAAAUUUAAGCAUGGGUUUUGUAAUACUCGAAGUAACGAACUAAAAAACGUAAAAAUUAUCAAAAACUGACUAAGAACGAACCUUGAAUCAAGAUGAGAAAGAUGGUCGAACCUAGCUUUUGUUGCUUCUUUUCUUUUGUUUCUUAUUUCAGUGGAUGAACAUAAUAAUAUGAUAGCUUAUUUUAAUCUUAUGUUUUAUUAUAAACAUUUUAUUACAUAAUUUACCUUUUUAACCUUGUUUAAUAUCAUUCAUACUUCACCUUCCUAUACUUCACCUUCCUAUGGCCGAAUGUGUCCAUGCAAACAUCCAAGUGUAUAAUUGCAUUAUAAGCACCCUACAUUACAAAGACAACCACUAUUUGGCCCUUUUAUUAUUAAUCUUUAAAUUUUUAUUUUACGCGAUUAAGUCUUUUUAUUUAAUUGGACACCCAAACAAUAAAAUUAAAUUACUAAAAUUUCACAGAUAUAAAUUCAUAUAAAAUAAACACAGAAAAUAAUUUUUAAAUAUUUUUCUAACUUGGAUUCGUGGUUCUGAAACCACCAUUUUGAUUAGGGUCUAAAUCAAGUUGUUACAUCAGCGAACCUAAGGUUACGGACGACGGCCACCUAAAUUCUAUAAAUAGUCUCAGUUGUCACAUGUUAUAGACAAUAAUUGCUUAGUUGAGAAUUCUGCUUUUAAUUUCAGUUUAACUUUUCUUUCUUCUUAGGUUUUAGAUUUAUUUUCAAGUUGCUCUUUGUUAAUUUCAAUAGAUUUGGUUUGUGAAGACAAUCAAACUUAGGGAUUCAAUUCAUUCUUAAUACAAAUCAAACAUUUUCUUAGACUUUAUACUUUGCUUUAUUCUUCAUGUUCUAUCUUUAUAUCAUUUCUAUUGUUCUAUCUUUAUACCAUUUUUAUAUUGUUUUUGAAAAUCAUGAAGAACUAAUCUUUCUAUAGGGGAUUAACGAGUGGAGGUAUGAUUUGUUAACUAUUUUGUAGGGUUACUUAAUGGAUCAACUGUUUCUAUUAUAUUAUAGUGAUUCUGGUGUGUCACCAGGGGCGGAUGUAAAGCCUUUAGGCUUGGUACUUGGUGCCCAUGUGUGUUCCAGAGGGAUGUUAGCCUACAAGCUAGGCAGUUGAUGCCCAAGUAUGUUCUCGGUUGGUUUAGCUCGUUUAAGUGUUUUGGUGUGUUCUGGAUGGUUAACCAUGUAAACGAAUCUAUUAUAUCGUUCAUCGGGCAGAUUUUUAAUGGUUACAUGAUUUGUAAUUCAUCUUGUAAAUGGUUAUAUGCUUUUUUGAUUGAAUAACAUGAGUUUACAUUGAAUGAUAUAGUAUAAUUGAAUAAAUUAUUUAUUAUGUGUAUUGAUAUGAAGACUCACCUAUUGAAUGGUUGUGAUUGACAAGAUUAUAGUUUAUUAACUGUUACUUUGUGAUUUAUAUGUUUUUACGGUAAGUUUAUCAUUUUAACCCUUGAACUUACUAAGCUCUAGUAACGCUUACUCGUAUCUUUUCUUCUAGUUUUUGUAGAUUAAGGUUUGUGGAAAUGGACGAUCGAAUCAACUCAAAGAAUCAUUCUAUCCAGCUAUCUUUUGGUUGUUUUUUAUAUGUUUAUCUUUGGGUUAUAUGGCAUGUAAUAGGUGUGUUUUGUUAAUGUUUUGAAUAUUUACUACAUGUGUUACAUAUGAGAUUGAUCCAAAGAUGAUUAAGCUUAGUAUUAGCUUGCUUGUGUAUGUGCCUUUAAUCAUGUGUGAAUAUGGUCAUAUAAAAUUGUUUUGGUCAUUGGAUAUAAACGUUAUGUAAGUAUUUGAAUCAUGGUAUGAAUGAAUAAGAAUAAAUGGUAAGUUUAGCAUGAGUUUUAUAUAUGAACUUAUGAGCUUAUGAACUUGAAUGCUAAUUAUUUUUGUGUAACAUGUGAAUUGAGGUUGAUAAUUGAAUUGUAGUGGACACAUUGGUUGAAUGUUUUUUGCUAGUUAAUUGUGUUUUUAAAGUAUGAAAAUGGUUAAUUUUGAUUUGGCUUGGUACCUAAGUUUUGGAUGAAUUUUUUUUCUUAUUUUGGAAGCUUUUUAAGGUGCACAUAGCCAGUGUCUUUACACAGUCGUUUGCUAACAUGGCCUACUCACAUGGCCGUGUGCCUUAUUAAUUUUAGGUACAAGAUUUUUCACACGAUCAUAGUUAUACGGUUUGAGCUCACAAGCAUGUUGAGUAGCCACAUAGGCGUAUGGGGUAGCUACACAGCUAUGUCCCUGAGCUACGGCUUGGCCACACAGUCGUGUGACCCCUAUUUUGAUAAUUUUAAAAUUUUUCAUGUUUUUCUGUUUUAAUUCAAAUUAGUCCAUGAUUAUUCUCAAACUAUUUCUAGGGCCCUGUAAGCUCGUUUUAAGUUUCGUAAAUGUUAUUUUUCUAUAAAUGAAAUGUAGAGUCAAAUGUUUUUAUUUAAAUUAAUAAAUGAAUAGUUUAAUAAUGUAAAUUGUUUUGAUAUGUGUUGUAAUACUUUGUAACCCUAAUUCAGCAACAGAGACGAGUUAGGAGUUGUAACGCCCUUAGCCCGAAUCCAUCACCGGAAUAGAGUUACGGAGCAUUACUGAAGUUACUGAUUUAUUUAUCAGAUAUUUUAUUUCGUCUAACAUUAUUUAGAACCAAUUAAAAUCAACAUAUUGUCCCUUAAACGUUCUCAACAUGUUUUACUUGAAUU
rnacentral:lncRNA from 1 species